UACACCCCUGUCCUACCUUAAUUAUACUCCCACCCCCAGCCCUCAGCAUCGGAGUCAAGAGCCACAGGGACACUUCCGUUCUCCUUGUAGGACUGAUGAAACCGUAAUGAAGAACACCCCCUAAACUCCCAUAGUCGGUGCGGAUUCCUAUGGGGAAGGGCCCCUGUUAUUGACAUCUUACAGGCCUCGGUUUUGGACCUUGAGAAGGAGGCUGUGGAAAUAGUGAUAGCGAUGCUUUUUAGGGUAAAUGUAUGUAGGUAUUGGGGGAAGGGGAGGGACCAACCUAGAAGGAAUGGAAGUAGUGUAAAGCUCAUUUCAGUUUUUGCUGCUCAUAUAGAGUCCAGCUAACGAGUUACUCAUUUACAGGCCAUAAAGCGUCUCCAGUCUAAAAGGGUCUGAAAACUAAACUUGGAUUAAUUCUUGAUACAGUAAAUCGAAAAUAACGUCUUGUGACCUUGAUUUUUAAUUUUACCCUCCAAGCAUUUUUUUUUAGCCACCCACAUAUUUAAAAAUUGUAUUAGUUAUAAUUACAGCUGAGAGGGUCAGCUAGGAUUUGUUGUUAAUGACCAGUAUGUGGAGUCUGAUUUAGCAUUCCAGAAUUGACUUUUUGGGUUGUACUGACAAAUCACAGUCCUAAAUGAUCGAUGUUGAAUGAUGCACUAUGUUUUUGUUUAAAUGAGAUUUCCUGAAAAUAAUUUCAGAAUUAAUGGAAAUUGAUGUUGCUGUUGUGAGGCGUCAUAAAAAUACCUAUUUUAAAAGUUGAAGGCAUUUCAAGCAUAUAUAGUUAUUGAUGAAGCAGAAAGAGUGUGGACCUGGGAUUUGGAAAACCUGGCUUCUAGCUGCUACUGACCAACUUUAUGACUCUGGGAAAGUGGGCUUCAGUUCCAUUAUCUAUAACAUGAGUAGAUUAGGCAGUUUGAACUCAGAACUCAGAAAGUUGGAAGGGAUCUUAAAGCCCUCUGAAAAAGAGUUUGGGAAUGUGCUCCAUUGCUGUCACUUUUCCUCCAAAAAUAACCUGGCUUGGAAGUCAUUGGUCCACAGGGAAUUUGAUUCCCCGUAGAAAUUGGAGAAUAGGUAAUGCAAGUAGAGAGGAACAGCUGUAUUUCCGCUUGAGUAAUAAACCCACUAACAGAUUCUGGUACGAAUUUUGGAGGCAUAAAGAGAAUGAGUGUAUGUACCCUAAGUGUACCAGUUUCCUCACUCUCUCCUGGCAGAAGGUGCAGAACUUUUAGUGGUGCUGGGAUUCUGGGAAGUGUUCCUAUUCAUUCUAAUACAGAUAAAGAAGAUGUGGUAGAGAGAAAGAUGGUGGCGGAAGGAAUGGAUAAAGAGGCAAAAUUGCCUUCUAAAAAGAAAAGAAAGAAGGGCUUGCGAAUUAAGGGGAAAAGACGACGAAAGAAACUGAUCCUUGUGAAAAAGUUUAGUAAGGAUUUGGGAUCUGGGAGGCCUGUUGCGGAUGCUCCUGCUCUGUUAGCUUCCAGUACUCCUGAGCAGGAUGAAGAAUGUCUUUUUGAGAGCAAUAUAGAAAAACAGAUCUACCUACCUAGUACUAGAGCCAAGACCUCCAUUGUGUGGCACUUCUUUCAUGUUGACCCCCAGUACACCUGGCGGGCUAUUUGUAACCUCUGUGAAAAAAGUGUUAGCAGGGGUAAACCAGGCAGCCAUCUUGGGACAUCUACUCUUCAACGACAUCUUCAGGCAAGACAUUCACCUCACUGGACAAGGGCCAACAAAUUUGGAGUCACUAGUGGGGAGGAGGAUUUUACUUUGGAUGUACCUUUAUCUCCCUCUUCUGCUGGAAGCAAUGGAAGCUUUGAAUAUAUUCCUACUGAUCCAUUAGAUGAUAGUAGAAUGGGUAAGAAACGAGAUAAAUCCAUAUCUGAUGCCCUGAGGGCGGAAAGGGGGAGAUUUCUCAUCAAAAGUAACAUUGUCAAGCAUGCCUUAAUUCCUGGAACAAGAGCCAAGACAUCUGCAGUUUGGAAUUUUUUUUAUACUGAUCCUCAGCACAUCUCAAGAGCUGUGUGUAAUAUAUGUAAAAGAAGUGUGAGCCGGGGUAGGCCAGGUUCUCACUUAGGAACUUCAACACUUCAACGACACCUGCAGGCCACACAUCCCAUCCAUUGGGCUGUUGCCAACAAAGACAGUGGUGCAGUUGGAAAUGGAUUAGAUGAAGCUGAGACUGAGAGAAAUCUCUUGAGUGAUACUUUGCAUGGAGAGAAGUCUACAGGCAGCCAAGAUUUAACAGCUGAGGACCUUAGUGACUCUGAUUCAGAUGAGCCUCCUGUGUUAGAAGUCGAAAAUAGGGUAUCUGAGGGUCCUAUUCCUGUUGCAGAGCAAGAUACUCUGAUGCAUGCCCAGGAGAGAGAAACAACAUAUUGUGAAAAUUCAGUCUCCAGUCAAAUAAGUCAGGCGAUUAUUCAAAUGAUUGUGGAGGAUAUGCAUCCUUACAACUACUUCUCCACCCCAGCCUUUCAGAGGUUCAUGCAGAUUGUGGCCCCUGACUAUAGGUUGCCAUCUGAGACUUACUUCUUCACUAAGGCUGUACCUCAGUUAUAUGAUUGGGUCAGAGAAAAAAUUUUCUUAACUUUGGAGAAUGUUCAAAGCCAAAAGAUCCACCUGACUGUGGACAUAUGGACCCAUGAUCCAUCCACUGACUAUUUUAUUGUGACUGUACACUGGGUCUCCUUGGACACUGCACCUUCUUCCAAUACUGACUGGGUCCCCAAUUUUAGAAAAUGGGCAGUGCUUUGUGUAACAGGUUUGGCCAAAGACUGUUUAGUAACCAACAUUUUACAAGAGUUAAAUGACCAGAUUGGUCUGUGGCUCUCUCCUAAUUUCCUCAUUCCUAGCUUCAUUGUUUCUGACAAUUCCUCUAAUGUGGUACAUGCAAUCAAAGAUGGAGGUUUUACCCACGUGCCGUGCUUCCUGCAUUGUUUAAAUAUAGUCAUUCAGGAUUUUUUCUGUGAGCACAAAAGCAUUGAGAAUAUGUUAGUGGCUGCUAGGAAAACCUGUCAUCAUUUUAGUCAUUCAGUCAAGGCCCGUCAGAUACUGCAGGAGUUCCAAAAUGAUCGCCAGCUUCCGUGGAAGAAUUUGAAGCAGGAUGAAACUGGCCAUUGGAUUUCUACCUUUUAUAUGUUAAAAUGGCUCUUGGAGCAUUGCUACUCAGUUCACCAUAGUCUUGGUAGAGCCAGUGGAGUUGUACUCACCUCCCUUCAGUGGACUCUAAUGACUUAUGUCUGUGAUAUUCUUAAACCGUUUGAGGAGGCCACCCAGAAAGUGAGUGUGAAGACCACAGGAUUGAAUCAGGUGCUACCCCUAAUCCACCAUCUACUCCUUUCCCUGCAGAAACUCAGAGAAGAUUUUCAAGUCAGAGGUAUUACGCAGGCCCUCAAUCUGGUGGACAGUUUAUCUCUGAAACUUGAAACUGACACCCUACUAAGUGCCAUGCUCAAAUCUAAGCCCUGUAUCUUGGCUGCUUUGUUAGAUCCUUGCUUUAAAAAUAGUUUGGAAGACUUUUUCCCUCAAGGUGCUGAUUUAGAAACAUAUAAGCAGAUCCUUGCAGAAGAAGUUUGUAAUUAUAUGGAAUCUUCACCAGAGGUCUGCCAUAUUACAGCUUCAGAAGCUUCUGGUCCCUCAGCUAUUGUACAAACGGAUUCAUUUACUUCAUCUACAAGAGAAGGCACUGUUGUAUCAGGGUCUUUUGAUAGCUCAGCUGCAGGUGUUGGCGUGGGAGGCAAAAGCUUCAUGUUUCCUUCUGCUGUAGCAGUAGUGGAUGAAUACUUCAGAGAGAAGUGUUCAGAGAUCUCAGGAGGUGAUGACCCUUUGAUUUACUGGCAGAGGAAGAUUAGUAUAUGGCCGGCUUUGACCCAAGUUGCCAUUCAGUAUCUAAGCUGCCCCAUGUGUAGUUGGCAAUCUGAAUGUAUCUUUACUGCAAAUAGCCACUUUCAUCCAAAGCAGAUCAUGAGCCUGGACUUUGACAAUAUAGAACAGCUGAUGUUUCUGAAAAUGAACUUGAAAAAUGUUAAAUAUGAUUAUUCUACAUUGGUUCUGAGCUGGGAUCCUGAGAAUGAAGUUGUUCAAAGCAAUGAAAAAGAAAUAUCUUAAUUUUCUUUUCUCCAUUUAAAAUGGGCAACUUCUUGCUCUGUUACUGUAUUCUAAUUGCUAUAGUUGUUACAUAUUGUUAACUAAUUAUUCUUUAUACAUGAAUCUGGGGAAACCUGAAAACACAAAAAGGACUGAAAAUUCCUCAGAGGUAACAUUGACAAAGUGAAGAUUAACUUCAGUGAUUUCACAGUACUAACUCAAUGUAGCUGUCAGAUGAAAUUUUGUUUCUAUCAGUUGACAUAUUUUUUAAUUAAAAAAAUAUAGUGCAGCAUUGAAAGGCCUUAGGCUAUUUCUGACUGGUAAACUGAACUGGUAAUUGGUUUUAAAUAAAAAUUUCUCCCAACAUGGGAAGUUUGAUUACUCUGAAACCAAUGAUAUGGAGAGAAAAUAUACUAAGCUGGUGUUCCUCCCUCCAUCCCCAUUUUUCUAUUUCUUCUAAAACCCUGAAUCAUACUUAUAGCUUCGCAAAAACAAAACUCAAAAUUGUUUUAUAUUUGGAAAUUUCUAAUUGCCUCCUCAUACUGGUCAGUUUUAUAAUUUUAGCUUACUUUGUUCCCUUUAUAGGAUUGGAUCUAUAUAAAAGGGAAACAGAAAACAAUUAGGAAAAAUUCUUUUAAUCCUUGAAUUACCUUUUUUAAUCUUUAUAAAAUAGUGUUAAAAACAAAAAUUGCAUAGGUACUUUGGCCUAAUUAUGGGUAAAUGACAUAGUAAAAGUUUAUGAAAUUUAAAAAGAUUGGGAAUUAAAAUGAAAGUCCCAUCCAUGAGCAUACUUUGACAAACCUAGUAUCCAUUUUCCAAAGAAUGUUUUUCUGAUAUUAAAUGAUCUUAAAUGCUUUUAAAAAUAUACUGAAUUAUUCAUAAAACUGUAUUAACUAUGAAAUUGUUUUGACCUCAAUUCUUAACUAAAAAUAAACAAUCAAUAUUUUCAUGUGUUAGGAAUCAUUUCCUCACUGGUAAAAUGAGAGAAUUGAUCUCAGUGAUUUUUAAGGUGCUUUUCCACUCUAAAAGUAUGUUUCUGUGAUUGAGUGGGAGGCCAGAAAAUGACGACUUUUUAAUAAAAGUCUAUUAAAAUUUUCAGACUGAAUAACUAAUGUGAGAUCCCAAUUUUUCCUUUUUUUCAUUUUAGAUUUGGGGAUAUUCCCUGCCCAAAAAUUUCCUGGAAAAUUGACUAGUAUUAAGUGUGAAGAAAUCUUGAAGACCAGAAAUUGGAUCUUAUUGAAUUUUGGUGUUCUUUUAAUUUUUUCUUUCUUUUUUUCUUUUUAAAUUAUAUUGUUCGGCUAUGGAAGAUGGAUUU